UACAGAGGUGGCAAGCGUUGUUCGGAUUCAUUGGGCGUAAAGGGUCCGUAGGCGGUCCGUAUAGUCGGAUGUGAAAUCCAACAGCUCAACUGUUGAACUGCAUUCGAAACUGACGGACUAGAGUAUGAGAGGGGUGAAGGGAAUUCCCAGUGUAAGGGUGAAAUCUGCAGAGAUUGGGAAGAACACCAGUCGCGAAGGCGCUUCACUGGCUCAUUACUGACGCUCAGGGACGAAAGCUAGGGUAGCAAACGGG
rnacentral:misc_RNA from 1 species